AAAAAUCGAGAAAACGCUCAGCUCCUAAUUGUGGCAGAACUUCCGGAAAAAGCCGUCACGGGGGCGGAGCUAAUUUAAAUAUGCGCAGCCUCAGCCUAUCAGGAGUCUUAACGUCACGCCGCCCAGUCCCGCCUCCUCGACGCAGAGGGUGGGGUUGGACCGCCCUCAUGCGUUGGGAAGACGAACUACAAAUUUGUUUAAUAGUAAAAUCGCCGCUAUAUUUUGAAUAUUAAUAAAAGGUUUUUGUGGGCGGGGCCACGACUGAUGUCGUCGUGCCUGUUUAUUGGUCAUUGUGGCUCCAAGGCCUAUAAAUUCUGGCCGGUCCGUUUAUCCUCCUUACGCGCGAGGGCCGGACAACAGAGAGGGCACCGAUCCCCCUGCCUGUGACCCCGGGUCCAUACCUGUUGUCGGCGCUGCCUCUGACACCGUUUGUCUUCUCCUGGUCUGAUGAGGCUGUGGAUUGACGUGAUCAAACCUCCUCCUGAGUCUCAUCACCCAGGACUCCAGUGUCAUUUCCUUUAUCUGUGUGUCCUUCUUCAAUCCCUCCUGAAGAUGAAAGAUAUACUGCUGAAGGCUGCAGAUCCACAGCCUGUGAGUUUCUACUUGACCUUCCAGGUGACUACAAACUGAAACCCCUGAACUCCAUGUUUCCAUUAUGUUAUGGAUUCAUUUUCUUCUCUCUUGUCUCCUGAGAUCUCACUUGUUCACACAGAGUUAAUUUCCAUCAGCCCUUUGCAGUCAAGACCACCAACGCAGUGAACUGACCCUAGCAGCAGCCUCAGGAGUUGUGAGAAAGUGUGUACGAGUUCAGUCUGUUUUAGUUUCUUCCUGCCUCCUUGUUGCUCUGUAUACUUGACUCAGACACUGUGUAAAAUGUCGAGUGCUGUGCUAAAUAAAGGUUCUCCUGA